CCAUCUUGAUGGUGCCCUCAUUAAGGCCUGGCCUGGUUUAAACCUCAGAGGGCUCCUGCCUGUCGCGGGCCUUGCUGGGCGGCGGCCAGAAAGCCCUUUUUAUUAAAUUGGCGAGAUGAAUCACACGGCCAAGUGGACGGACAGGGGAGGCCAGGGUGAAUCAGAGCGGCGCGCAGACCCGGGCGCUGCCCACAGCGGCGGCGGGGGCCAUCUCCCUUCCAGGGUCGCUGAUGGUGGCCAGGGGCCAGCGCCAUGGGUCUGGCGACAGAGCCUGGUUUUAUUGGAAAUGAAAGCGACACAAGCCCACGGUGAGGGUGGUCAGCCGGGAUCUACCCGAGGCCUCGUUGGCAGAUUCUCUCUGCGCAGACCAGAUACCCUGGGAGCCCGGCCAGCAUCGGUGGUUGCCGGGGAGUUGGCAUCCUCUGCCUCUGCAGGCCAGCAGGAGAGCAGGGCCGCCUCUCCACGGCCUGGGAGGCACGACGUGGCCUCUGGAUCCCUCACGGCGGCAGAUGCUUCCCGCAGGUGGGCAGAUGGCUCCACUGUUCCCGUUUCACAGAUGGGGAAACUGAGACCAACGGGUCACACGGAAAUGAGCAAAGCUGGGUCCGCAGCUCCCUCAGCCUGACUCUGGAGUUCAAGGUCGCAGCCCCUGGACUCUGCAGCCCCCUGGUCUCUAACCAGAGUGACAUCCUUUGCCGUGUGUGUCCACCACUUUUAUGUCUUUGUCCAUGGAUCGCCAGCUGUGACAAGCCACUGACGUGUUACAGAUGCACCAUCUUCUGUGGCUUCGUUUGGGCACUGAGGUCAUCAAAAGAAAAAUGAUGGAGUCCAGCCGUGGAGAAAAUAACGAGAGGGAAGAAGUUCCCCUGCCGUCUCUCACCCAGGAGCUCGCUGACCAGAGGCCGGGGGUUUCUGGUGUCCUCAGAGCUGAAGUGUCCUAGAUUCGGGGUUGAACACCGCAGAGGCUCCCCCCGGGCUGGACGCUCAGCACAGCCGCAAGUGCCACCUUUUAUAGUAGGCGCAGGUUUCCCAUCAGCCACUGCUCCCCAGUGAUUGGCUAAAGCUAAGCACGUGUCUCCCUUGCCAAUGAUUGGCUUAGGGGCGGGCAUGGGACCCCGUUCUGCCCAAUGAGAAGUGAGGGGAAGUCGGUUGGGGCUUUUGACUGGGCGGGGCCAUGACUAAGAAGGCGCAUGAAAGGGGGCGGGCACUUUGCAGCUCAGAGCUAGACGUAGAAGGGGCCCCUGCAAUUUGGACAGCCAUCGAACCAGAUGUCAGAAGGUGAAGGUCACUCUGAGGACGGCAGAAUGAAAAGAGGACAAAGGCCAUUCUACCUGGACGCUUGCUGAUAGGUAGAAAAAUAGAUUUGCUGCGAGUUUUCA